rnacentral:rRNA from 1 species
AAUCAACGCUGGCGGCAUGCCUAACACAUGCAAGUCGAGCGAGAAAGGGUAGCAAUACCUGAGUAAAGCGGCGCACGGGUGAGUAACACGUGGAUAACCUGCCUCAAAGUGGGGAAUAACACCGGGAAACCGGUGCUAAUACCGCAUAUUCUGACGAGAUCUGUGGAUUUUGCCAGGAAAGGAGCAAUUCGCUAUGAGAGGGGUCCGCGGCUGAUUAGCAGUUGGUGAGGUAACGGCUCACCAAGGCCACGAUCAGUAGCCGGUCUGAGAGGACGGUCGGCCACACUGGAACUGAGACACGGUCCAGACUCCUACGGGAGGCAGCAGUGGGGAAUUUUUCGCAAUGGGGGCAACCCUGACGAAGCAAUGCCGCGUGGAUGAUGAAGGCCCUCGCGGUCGUAAACUCCUGUCUAGUGGGACGAAAGUAUUCAGGGUGAAUAAUCCUGAGUAUUGACUGUACCGCUGGAGGAAG